rnacentral:lncRNA from 10 species
AAAACAGAAUUUGGGUCACAUUUGCAUUAUAUUUCAAAGUUUUGAGGUUGCUAGUCUUAUGAGGAGGCAGGUAGGGUGUCAUUAUAUUUGUUUUACAGAUGAGGACACUGAGGUCCAGGGAGACAAAAUGGCACUCCCCAAGUCCCCUCACUGGUCAGGGCUGUCCAGGACUGGAUGCCAGGCCUCCUGAUUUCUGGUUACUGUAGUCAGCAUGAGGCUGGGAUGCUGUGCUCUGCCUUUCAGGGGUUGGAGUGCUUAGCGGACAGCUGUACGCCACAGGUGGGCAUGAUGGGCCUUUGGUGAGGAAGAGCGUUGAGGUUUACGAUCCUGGAACAAAUACCUGGAAGCAAGUGGCAGACAUGAACAUGUGCCGGCGCAACGCAGGUAAUGACUGCUCUCUCCAUCUCCCCUUUGGGGGUUGUGUGCCUUUUCUCCCUGAAGACACUGGCUCUAAACAGCAGGGAGAUUUCCCAGGGUCUGGAGCUGAGCGUAUAUCCUGAACAGGGAGUGUGCAUUUGCCAGGUGGGCUCUUGAUUAGAGGAGGGGAGAAAUUGAGACCCCAAAAGCUAGCUGCAGAUCCUGCAACCUAGAUGCAGAGGAUCCCCUUUCCCCGCAGUGAAGGUGGCAAUAGAGGACCCUUGUUGUACUUCUUGUUUAAUUUGCAUAUUAUGUGUAAAAUGCUUUCGUUGAAAGAAAACUGAAGACACUGAAUGUGUAUGUCUGUGUGGGUGCUCUGUCCCUGUGGUUGUCAUAGCCAGUCAGACUUGAUCACUGACACCCCGUACAACAUAUUGCAUAGGUAAGAUCCUCGAUCUGGUGUUCUCUGCG